rnacentral:lncRNA from 1 species
UAAACUAUCAAAUAUAAUGUCUUUUAUUUUACUCGUAAUACAAUAAAGAUAUACUAAAUUACUCACAAUAACGAUAUAUUAAAAUAAUUAAGAUUAUAACCUUAUGAAAGGAGGAUCCAAAAGCGUCAACAAAACUCAUCAAUCGGCUAAAAGAGGAUUAUGUUUUAAAAAUAUAAUUAAUAUAGUAUGACAAUUAUUUACCAUUUAUCAAGCUGUUAAAGAACAGUCUCAUGAUGUGAGCUUGAACUAAAUGGGAGAAAAUUAAUACGUUAUGAGCCUGACAUGACUCGAACUCGGACUCGAACUCGGGACCUCCUGCUCUGAUACCAUGUGAAACAACCGUUGUAUUCUAAAAUCUUAAGCUAUUAAAGAACGAUAUUUAAGUAUUUUUGUAAUCCCUUUAAAGAAUUUAUCAGUCUUGUAAUCCCACCAACUCACCACCACCAACUUCACCUACCAACUUCAAUUUAUGUUCAAUACGGUAUUUAAAUAUUUUUGUAAUCCCUUUACAGAAUUUAUCAGAGUCUUGUAAUCCCACCUACUCACCACCACCAACUUCACCUACCAACUUCAAUUUAUGUACGAACUACGAAGAAGUCUCUCUUUUCCAUAUCUUUUGGCAUGUAUAACUACAAAAUUGGUUUUUUUUUUAACCACGCCAUGGUCUACGGAAAAUCGCUCAUAGAAAUCUUCGAAACAUUUUUUAUCCUCCAAAUUAAAGCCCCUAACAUCAAAGCUAUACUUAGCACGUAGUUUUCCGACUAACUGUCGUGCAGCAUCUUCGAUAAUAUGGAUUUUCUUUUGUUACUCGACAUUUUUUUCUACUGUGACCAAAUAUUUGGUAUUGAAAAAUCUAACUUAUUUUAGAAGAAAGAUACCACAAAUAUUUGACAAAAAAGGAGAAGUAUUGAGUAAUGGUUAAAGUAGAGACAUUUUUAAACUAUCAAAUAUAAUGUCUUUUAUUUUACUCGUAAUACAAUAAAGAUAUACUAAAUUACUCACAAUAACGAUAUAUUAAAAUAAUUAAGAUUAUAACCUUAUGAAAGGAGGAUCCAAAAGCGUCAACAAAACUCAUCAAUCGGCUAAAAGAGGAUUAUGUUUUAAAAAUAUAAUUAAUAUAGUAUGACAAUUAUUUACCAUUUAUCAAGCUGUUAAAGAACAGUCUCAUGAUGUGAGCUUGAACUAAAUGGGAGAAAAUUAAUACGUUAUGAGCCUGACAUGACUCGAACUCGGACUCGAACUCGGGACCUCCUGCUCUGAUACCAUGUGAAACAACCGUUGUAUUCUAAAAUCUUAAGCUAUUAAAGAACGAUAUUUAAGUAUUUUUGUAAUCCCUUUAAAGAAUUUAUCAGUCUUGUAAUCCCACCAACUCACCACCACCAACUUCACCUACCAACUUCAAUUUAUGUUCAAUACAGUAUUUAAAUAUUUUUGUAAUCCCUUUACAGAAUUUAUCAGAGUCUUGUAAUCCCACCAAUUCACCACCACCAACUUCACCUACCAACUUCAAUUUAUGUACGAACUACGAAGAAGUCUCUCUUCUCCAUAUCUUUUGGCAUGUAUAACUACGAAAUUGUUUUUUUUUUUAACCACGCCAUGGUCUAUGGAAAAUCGUUCAUAGAAAUCUUCGAAACAUUUAUAACCUUAUGAAAGGAGGAUCCAAAAGCGUCAACAAAACUCAUCAAUCGGCUAAAAGAGGAUUAUGUUUUAAAAAUAUAAUUAAUAUAGUAUGACAAUUAUUUACCAUUUAUCAAGCUGUUAAAGAACAGUCUCAUGAUGUGAGCUUGAACUAAAUGGGAGAAAAUUAAUACGUUAUGAGCCUGACAUGACUCGAACUCGGACUCGAACUCGGGACCUCCUGCUCUGAUACCAUGUGAAACAACCGUUGUAUUCUAAAAUCUUAAGCUAUUAAAGAACGAUAUUUAAGUAUUUUUUUAAUCCCUUUAAAGAAUUUAUCAGUCUUGUAAUCCCACCAACUCACCACCACCAACUUCACCUACCAACUUCAAUUUAUGUUCAAUACAGUAUUUAAAUAUUUUUGUAAUCCCUUUACAGAAUUUAUCAGAGUCUUGUAAUCCCACCAAUUCACCACCACCAACUUCACCUACCAACUUCAAUUUAUGUACGAACUACGAAGAAGUCUCUCUUCUCCAUAUCUUUUGGCAUGUAGAACUACGAAAUUGUUUUUUUUUUUAACCACGCCAUGGUCUAUGGAAAAUCGUUCAUACAAAUCUUCGAAACAUUUUUGUAUCCUCCAAAUUAAAGUCCCUAACAUCAAAGCUAAACUCAGCACGUAGCUUUCCGACAAACUGUCGUGCAGCAUCUUCGAUAAUAUGAAUUUUCUUGUGUUACCCUACAUAUUUUUCUACUGU